GAGUUUCUUUGAACAAAUCCAAGUAAUUUAGAAGCUUUUACGGAUAAUGAAUUGAUAUGCUCGACAAAUAAGAGCUUUUCAACCAUGAUAACACCUAGAUCUCUAAUAGACGAGACAUAUCUAAGAGGUUUACUGUCUAUGUGAUAAGCAGUAUCAAUUCUGUUUAACUUACGGGAAAAAUUAAUAUAACACUUCUCAACACAUAACUGAAGAUUAUUGCAAAUGCACCAAUCAAAUAAGCGAUCCAUAUCAGCCUGUAAAAGUUUCUGAUCCUCAAUAUCAUUCACAACUCGCCAAAAUUUUACAUCAUCAGCCAACAUUAAACAUUUACUAUAUAAGAAGCAAUUAACGAUAUCAUUAACAAAUAAGUCAAAAAAACAGGGGAGACGUAUGCCCACCCUGUGAAACACCAGAACUUACAGUAAUAACCAGAAAAAAGACCACCCACUUUAACUCGUUAGGUACGACCAGAUAAAAAGUUUUUAACUCACUCAACAAAAUGGACAUGAAAACCUAUGGAUGCCAAUUUAUUAAGGAGAAUUUGGUGAUCAACA
rnacentral:lncRNA from 1 species